rnacentral:snRNA from 1 species
GAAUGUAAGGGUGAUCUGACUAUCGCAUGGCACUCUAAUAGUAUCUAGUGUGGCUUGGGAAAAUCUAUCUAGCUUGGUAGAUGUUCUUUUCUCUACUCCUUCUUCAUGUGUUACCAUCCAGAAGCUGUUUCCUUCGCCCAGGGUAGUGACUUUCCUCUAAUGAGCCACACUUUUCAUCAGACAAGAGUAUCUAAGUAGCUGAAUUUCCUUAUUAGAACCUCUAAAUAAGGGUGAUUAAGAGCUAUGGCUGCUAACCAAAAGGUCAGCAGUUCAAGCCCACCAGCU